rnacentral:rRNA from 1 species
AAUGAACGUUGGCGGCGUGGAUUAGGCAUGCAAGUCGUGCGCGAACUGUAGCAAUACGGGGAAAGCGGCGUAAGGGAGAGUAAUACGUAGGUAUCUACCCAUGGGUCUGGGAUAGCGGCGGGAAACUGCCGGUAAUACCAGAUAACGUCUCCGGACCAAAGGUGUGAUUCCACCUGUGGAGGAGCCUACGGCCUAUUAGCUAGUUGGAAGGGUAACGGCCUACCAAGGCUUGGAUGGGUACGGGGUGUGAGAGCAUGCCCCCGNUCACUGGGACUGAGACACUGCCCAGACACCUACGGGUGGCUGCAGUCGAGAAUCUUCGGCAAUGGGCGCAAGCCUGACCGAGCGACGCCGCGUGCGGGAUGAAGGCCUUGGGUUGUAAACCGCUGUCGUAGGGGAUGAAACGCUAGUGAGUUAUCUCAUUAGUUUGACUGAACCUAGGAGGAAGGCCGGCUAAUCUCGUGCCAGCAGCCGCGGUAAUGUCGAAUAUCG